rnacentral:rRNA from 1 species
ACCCGCUGAACUUAAGCAUAUCAAUAAGCGGAGGAAAAGAAACCAACAGGGAUUACCUCAGUAACGGCGAGUGAAGCGGUAACAGCUCAAAUUUGAAAGCUGCCAACAGGCCGCGUUGUAAUUUGUAGARGCUGCUUUGGGUGUCGGCCCGGUCUAAGUUCCUUGGAACAGGACGUCAUAGAGGGUGAGAAUCCCGUAUGUGAUCGGUGCCGUUGCCCGUGUAAAGCGCUUUCGACGAGUCGAGUUGUUUGGGAAUGCAGCUCAAAAUGGGUGGUAAAUUUCAUCUAAAGCUAAAUAUUGGCCAGAGACCGAUAGCGCACAAGUAGAGUGAUCGAAAGAUGAAAAGCACUUUGGAAAGAGAGUUAAACAGUACGUGAAAUUGUUGAAAGGGAAGCGCUUGCAACCAGACUUGCGGGCGGUCGAUCAUCCGAGGUUCUCCCCGGUGCACUCGAUCGUUCUCAGGCCAGCAUCGGUUUCCGGGGUGGGAUAAAGGCGGUGGGAAUGUGGCUCUUCGGAGUGUUAUAGCCCACCGUGCAAUGCCGCCACCGGGGACCGAGGACCGCGCUUCGGCUAGGAUGCUGGCGUAAUGGUUGUAAGCGACCCGUCUUGAAACACGGACCAAGGAGUCUAACAUCUAUGCGAGUGUUUGGGUGUCAAACCCAUACGCGUAAUGAAAGUGAACGGAGGUAAGAGCCCUUUAGGGUGCAUUAUCGACCGAUCCUGAUGUCUUCGGAUGGAUUUGAGUAAGAGCAUAGCUGUUGGGACCCGAAAGAUGGUGAACUAUGCGUGAAUAGGGUGAAGCCAGAGGAAACUCUGGUGGAGGCUCGCAGCGGUUCUGACGUGCAAAUCGAUCGUCAAAUUUGCGUAUAGGGGCGAAAGACUAAUCGAACCAU